ACGACGUGGGCAGAUGGGGCAGUGGGGCGGUCUGGCGUGCCAGGCCGGGCCUUGCUGGUUGCUCUGCUCUGGCCCCCUGGGCCGAUGGCUGGUGGCCUGUCCGGAGAGCAUCGGACCCCUUUCAGCAGCCCCCGAGCCGGGGUAGAAGUUAAUGGCUGUGCCGACUCCAGGGUGGGGUCUGCCCCUGUGCCCCCCGGCCUGCCUUCUUCCCCGACUCCCCCUGCGUUUCUGCCAGGUAGCCCUAAGGAACAGAAGGUGGGGUAAGGGGACAGGAAGGCUCACGGUUAAACCCCUUUGCGAAGCAGGUAGAAGUUAGACCUGGGACCCCGUCGUCAUUCUGGGGGCAACAGUUGUGCUGGCUGCCUGCCAAAGGCUGUCAAAAGUAUCUUCCUGUUGGUGUUGCAGAGAAUAACCGGAUUAUCGGUGCUCCCCGUGGUUUCGUGAAGGGCUGUUUUUCUAAAGAGUGCAUCUCUGCCUUUUCCAGUUCGUUGUGGGGCCGUUUCUGGGUUUUGAUCUGGAGAUUCCCGUUGUUCUUGCAGAAACACAACAUCAGGACAAACACGAACGAGAGAGAGCAAACCAUCCCUCUGAGGACUUGCCUUUGCUGCUGAUUAUGGAUCUAGGAUCGCUAAAGGUACCGCCAUAACAUCCACGUUAUUCCAAGGCGCACGACUUUUUGUAACUGACGUCUUGAGGUGGCGUCCGUUCCUCUUGCGUCCAAGGGCUGUUCCCGACCUCUCGAGAUGGCACCAAGCGACCGCUAUUGGACCCACUAUGAUUUCCUUUGUCCACAUUCACUCAAUUUUUAUUUGGACGUCUUUAUGUUUCCCUAGUUUUUUCUAGUUUUUUUUUUUUAACUGACCCUGCUAAAUCCAGCGACUGCAAUAAGAUGGUGGUGAUUUAUACGCCCCUGUUUAUAUAAACUCGAGGCCGAUUGCACUCAUUUUAAAAACACACAACAUAAAAGCGAACAGUAGCAUCAAUGCAAU